GUGAGGGUGCUGUGUGUGUGUGAUGGGUUCUGUGUAUGUGUGUCAGAGGAGCUGUGUGUGUGUGAGGGUGCUCUGUGUGUGAGGGGUGCAUUGUGUCAGGGGUGCUGUGUGUGUGUGUGAGGGGUGCUGUGCCCUGAUAGUCCACUGGUGGUGAGUUGUCUAUAGCCUGCAGCUCCUCUGGCUGCAGGCUGUCUUCACUUCUCCCGGG